UACAGAGACUGCAAGCGUUCUUCGGAUUCACUGGGCGUAAAGGGUGCGCAGGCUGCCAAGUGUGUUAGGCGUGAAAGCCCGGGGCUUAACCCCGGAAUUGCACCUAAAACUACAUGGCUAGAGCAUUGGAGAGGGUAGCAGAAUUCAUGGUGUAGCAGUGAAAUGCGUAGAUAUCAUGAGGAAUACCAGAGGCGAAGGCGGCUACCUGGACAAUUGCUGACGCUCAGGCACGAAAGCGUGGGGAGCAAAAGGG
rnacentral:rRNA from 1 species